rnacentral:rRNA from 1 species
UACGGAGAGGGCUAGUGUUAUUCGUAUUGACUGGGUGUAAAGGGUAAGUAGGUUGUUAUUUAAGUUCUAAACGAAAAAAAUAAACAGUUGUUUGUUACGUUUCUAAUACUACUUAGCUAGAAUUUUUUAUGAAGAAAGUUGUACAUUAAGUGUAAGGGUAAAAUCUUUCAAUAUUUAAAGGACAUGCGAUAGGCGAAAAGCUAACUUUUCAUUAAUGAAAAAAUUUGACACUGAGGUACAAAAAGCAUAGGGAUCAAACGGG